UACGUAGGGUGCGAGCGUUGUCCGGAUUUAUUGGGCGUAAAGAGCUCGUAGGCGGUUUGUCGCGUCGGCCGUGAAAUCUCCACGCUUAACGUGGAGCGUGCGGUCGAUACGGGCAGACUUGAGUUCGGUAGGGGGAGACUGGAAUUCCUGGUGUAGCGGUGAAAUGCGCAGAUAUCAGGAGGAACACCGGUGGCGAAGGCGGGGUCUCUGGGGCCGAUACUGACGCUGAGGAGCGAAAGCGUGGGGAGCGAACAGG
rnacentral:rRNA from 1 species